ensembl:misc_RNA
AUCACGUUCCAAUGCAUGUGAGUAUUCAAAGUUUGGUUGUUUUCCAGAAUUGGCUCUCUUAAAGGUCAAAAC